UAAAAAAGAAAUUUGGAAAACCGUCUAGAUCAAGCUUCCACCAAGUUUGGAGGAAGACUUUUUGGACAAGGCUUUAUGUGGUAGCAAGACGGUUCCCAACAAUUUCAAGUCUACAUCUAUCCUGGUCCAAGUCCAGCAAGAAAAAGAACCUUCCCAGAAGUUCCUGGAUUCACUAAUUAAGUCAACACAGAUUAUCUACCUGUCCCUUAAAAAAUUACUGCAGGACCUGCUUCAACUUGGUCAUAAGACUGGCAGAAAGUCAAACCAAACUAAAUGAGUAGUUGUUGGAGUUAAUCUCACAGCCUGGAGCUGUAUGGGCCAUGGAAUCGUCUGCUGUUAUUAACAAGCACAAUUCUGAUCAGAAUCACUGCUCUGUGGUCCUGUUCAUCAGAAUCUCAUGUUUGGAAACCGGAUUUGGGUCUGGGUACUUUAAAAAUAGAUAUGAUCAUGGAAUAUAGCCAUUAAAAUUUCUAUUGUAGGAGAAGGUAACAUAGGGUCGUAUUAAUCAUGUAUUUAAAUGUUGAAGUAGAUUCCUGAACAAUAUGUUCAAGGUGAUUCCUAUAUUGUUUAAUAUUAUACAGAUAUAGACACCCAAAUAUUAACCUUAAGGAAUGGAACCACCAGUGAU